UACGUUCCCGGGUCUUGUACACACCGCCCGUCACACCACGAAAGUCGGCAACACCCGAAGCCGGUGGCCUAACCCGCGAGGGAGGGAGCCGUCGAAGGUGGGGCCGGCGAUUGGGGUG
rnacentral:rRNA from 1 species